AGGCCGCGUUUCAUUGGCUGACGCCCAUUCCAUUUUUAGAGCGGCUACCACGUGCGUGGCCAUCGCACAAACACACGCUUCUCGUUAGCUAAAUACAGCAUAAUGGCAGUAAUGAUACAACUUCUACACCUUGAAGCCUGUCUGCUGCACAGUCUUACAUUAGCUAAACAGAUCAAUAUCCAAUGUCUACUGUAUCUGACAUACACUAAAGAUUUUAUUUUAGCAGAAAAGGCUUUGGACUAAACUGUUACUCGUGUUAGCUACUCUACCACCAAGUACAGUGUACAGUGUAUAUUUGUAUCACUCAAACAUUUGCCAACAAACCACAGGAAUCACCCACUGAUUUCAAAAGUAACCUACAAAACGAUGAAUGCCCGACUUAUCCAGCCUUGUAAGAACAAUAGGCAUCAGCGAUCUUGUCCACAGCUAUAUUGAUGUAGAGGGUGUCAUUUUGCUGUGACGUGCACAAUGUUGGAGGCAUCGCGUGGCUUAAACACCUUGAUCUCAUCCAA